AUACGGAGGGUGCAAGCGUUAAUCGGAAUUACUGGGCGUAAAGCGUGCGUAGGCGGCUUGUUAAGUCAGAUGUGAAAGCCCCGGGCUCAACCUGGGAACUGCAUUUGAAACUGGCAAGCUAGAGUAUGGUAGAGGGGGGUAGAAUUUCUGGUGUAGCGGUGAAAUGCGUAGAUAUCAGAAGGAAUACCAGUGGCGAAGGCGGCCCCCUGGACCAAUACUGACGCUGAGGUACGAAAGCGUGGGGAGCGAACAGGAUUAGAAACCCCAGUAGUCC
rnacentral:rRNA from 1 species